AUUCCAGCUCCAAUAGCGUAUAUUAAAGUUGUUGCAGUUAAAACGCUCGUAGUCGGAUUUCGGGGCCUGCCUGCCGGUCUGCCGAUGGGUAUGCACUGGCAGGCGCGUCCUUCCUUCCGGAGACUGUCCCUACUCUUAACUGAGCGGGGUCGGGAGACGGAUCGUUUACUUUGAAAAAAUCAGAGUGUUUCAAGCAGGCAGCUCGCUCUUGCAUGGAUUAGCAUGGGAUAAUGAAAUAGGACUUUGGUGCUAUUUUGUUGGUUGGAGAUCAAGGUAAUGAUUAAUAGGGAUAGUUGGGGGUAUUCAUAUUUAAUUGUCAGAGGUGAAAUUCUUGGAUUUAUGAAAGAUGAACUCAUGCGAAAGCAUUUACCAAGGAUGUUUUCAUUA
rnacentral:rRNA from 1 species